CACACAUUUCUCUGGCCAUAUUUAUUUUUACACCCUGAUAACAGGAACUUACAGCUGUCAAUAAACAAGCACAAAUAUAUUUUUGGAAUCUUUAUGCUGGAAUAAUGUUGGAGUGGUGAUUUUUAGAGAGGUGAUUUUCGUGUGAGUUAUCCAUGUUUCCAUUAAACAAAGAUUUUAUUUUCAGAUUAGUUAAAUUGCUUGGAUUACAUAUGGUAGAUAAGGGUAAACUAAUUUAAGUGCAAUCAAGUUUAAGAAGAAGUUUAUCGCUCUUUCCUUGAUAUGCUGCUACCUUCAUUUAUGCAUCUUUAAAUAUGGACAGCUGGAAUGGCUGAAUUCAAAAGACUUUGGGGUUUAUUCACUGGGAACAAUUCUAGAGCAAAAUUAUAAAUAUUAGGAGUAGUAGCCACUAGAACCAAUGGAACAUUCAUAUUACUCAUUGUACAAUUAGUAAUUUGGCCCAGAAUUAAUCCUUAAAUAUAAAGCUCCUUUGUAUAUUUGGCACCUGUGAAGGUUUGUAUAUGAAUCUAUAAUA